rnacentral:hammerhead_ribozyme from 1 species
AUUCAGCUGACGAGUCCUAAAGAGGACGAAACGUUGGUCUUGGAU